rnacentral:rRNA from 1 species
CGACCGGCGCACGGGUGCGUAACGCGUAUGCAACCUACCUUUAACAGGGGAGUAACACUGAGAAAUUGGUACUAAUACCCCAUAAUAUCAUAGAAGGCAUCUUUUAUGGUUGAAAAUUCCGAUGGUUAGAGAUGGGCAUGCGUUGUAUUAGCUAGUUGGUGGGGUAACGGCUCACCAAGGCGACGAUACAUAGGGGGACUGAGAGGUUAACCCCCCCACACUGGUACUGAGACACGGACCAG